CAUCGAGCCGAACACGUGAUGUUAUUAAGAACUUGACCUUCUGUCAUUUGGUAGUUAAGAGUUGGUGGUGAUAGCGACACGGAAUCGGGACCAACUUAAAUUCGUCACAUUCAAUUCUGGAUUUGUGGCAGUGCAUGCGUAACUUCCAUCUUCGCCCCUGUUGAGAGAGCCAAGUGACAGAACAUUGUUGUCGCUGACAAGGAUAUCUGACUUUCUCCAUAUGUAAGUGCAAACUGGGACACAGCUGGCCGAACAUCGAAUGUCGGACAUCAAUUGUCCCUCAUUAUUGGUGAACGACAACUGAUUCGGCGAAAGUGUGACCAUGUCAGGACCAUCUGUAAAUAAUGUAGAAUUAAAGCAUACACACUCUUUUUUAUUUGGUCAGAGUAGUUUUGUUUUACCGAAGUAGUGGGUUACAAUAAUGACCGGUGAAUACAUGAUGCUUAAACUUUGACCAUUAAAGGGAUUCUGAUUGUCUGAACGCGUUCCUGGUACAAUACAGAAAACACAUGGACACACGUUCGUUUGAAUAUUACUUUUUGAUACAUUCAUUUGUUCUCAUUACACUUUACACAUACGUUUAUGUCAUUACCUUAUUUCGUUUUUUUUCAACAAUUCGUAUAUAUUCGGCCAUCCCUUAAAUAUUGAUUCAAGAGAUCACGCAAAACAAUCGUGUUAGUUACACGUAUAUUAAUUAAAAAUGUGCAUCCCUUAAUUAAAUAAUGCACAAAGUAUCAUAGCGAAUUUUGUACAAUAACAAUUACACGUUAAGACAUUCGUAUAAAAGAGAGCAUAUUUCUUAACAAUUAAUUAUUUUUUUUUACAUCUAAUCAAAAUCUCGACUGUUUGACUGUUUACGAUCUGUCCUGAUCUUGGAUUCCUUGCAGAACAUUCAUAGAUUCCUGUGUCACCUCUCUUAACAUAACCCAGUGACAGUAAGUUACUGUUUAUUAUAACGGUUGACGAUCUUUUCCACGAAAAUGUACACUCAGGGACACAUUUUGCAGAACACGUUAUGUUAUGAAGUGUUUGUCCCUCAUUGAACGUGUAGGAUUUAAUAUCUGGUGACAGGGUAAUGUCCUCAGGACCAUCUGCAAUGAAAUAACGUUCCGAGUUAGUAAGAUUCUUAAGGUAAUUUCUAUGUGGAAUUGCCUUGAACGUGUGAUAAAAUGUUGUCAACAUUUAACAGAUAUAUACAAUCUAAUCAAAUCUAUAUUUAGUGCAACAGUACAUAUUUUAUAUUUAUAUUUUAUCUUAAAUGUUGAAAUUCUUAUUAAUGACGUUAAAGAAUGACUGCCAGUACAUGAAUAGUCAAUGCCUUCUCCGUUGGAUAUAAACAUGCAUUGAGUACAACUAAAACGCAGCUUCCACUUACAUGCAAUCUCUACCACAAUUAUCGCACUGCUUGCAGUUUCUAUUGUUCCUGGAUUCUUGGCAGUACAUACGUAGUUACCAGCCUGGUUUCUGUGAGCGGACCCGAGUGACAGCACACUCGAAUUGCUGACUUCAUUUCCCGACUUCGUCCACGAGAAACUACACUUGUCAGGAUAACAGGUUGCAGAACAUGUUAUAUCUGACAUUGUGCUUCCUUCAGUCGUAGAAUAGUAAAGUGAAGACGGAGAUAUUACUGUGGAGUCGGGACCAUCUGUAACAUAAUCAUAACUGCAUAAAAUUCUUGUGAGUUCAUUCUUUAUGGUGGAGGUUUAUUAUUGCAUUAAGCUUUACAUAAAUAUGUAUACUACUUAUA